AAUAAUUUGAUUAUAAUGAAUUGGUUAAUUGAAAAGUGUAUAAAGCUCGCCAAUCAAAUCUAAAUAUUGUAAUAAUUUCAUAAAUUUUUGGGUGUAUAAAGUCAUGGUAAAAAAAUAGGUACUUAUAAUAAAAAUAACAUGAUAACGGCAUGACCAUCAUCGACAAUUAGUAGAGUUGCUGAUGUUGGUAUAAGAGAUUUGAUUCCUUCAUUAUGAGCCUUGAAUACAGGCGCCGAGAUGUUGGUAUAAGAGAUUUGAUUCCUUCAUUAUGAGCCUUGAAUACAACAGACUCUGUUCAGAUCCGUGUGCAUACUAUAUGAGAUUUGGUGAUAAUGAUUUCAUUAUCUUGCUGUUGUACGUUGACGACAUGUUGGUAGCAGGCCCCAACAAAGAUCGUAUUGAAAACUUGAAGGCACAGUUGGCAAGGGAAUUUGAAAUGAAGGACUUGGGACAGGCAAACAAGAUUCUAGAAAUGCAAAUUUACCAAGACAGAAAUAAUAGGAAGAUUUCGCUUAAUCAGAAGAACUACUUGAAGAAAAUCUUGCGUCGCUUCAAUAUGCAAGAUUGUAAGCCAAUUUCUACCCCACUUUCUAUUAAUUUCAAGUUAUCCUCAAGUAUGAGUCCUAGCAAUGAAGCAGAGAGGAUGGAGAUGUCUCGAGUGCCAUAUGCAUCAGCAGUGGGUAGUUUGAUGUUUGCUAUGAUUUGUAUAAGACCAGACAUUGCACAAGCAGUGGGAGCGGUUAGUCGAUACAUGGCAAAUCCUGGUAAAGAGCAUUGGAGUACUGUGAAGAGAAUCCUGAGAUAUGUCAAGGGUACCUCAAAUGCUACAUUAUGUUAUGGAGGAUCAGACUUUAUUGUCAGAGGUUAUGUUGAUUCAGAUUAUGCAGGUGAUCUUGAUAAAAGCAAAUCCACCACAGGAUAUGUGUUUACUCUUGCUGGAGGAGCUGUAAGCUGGGUUUCGAAACUGCAGUCUAUCGUGGCUACUUCUACUAUAGAGGCAGAAUACGUGGCAGCUACACAAGCCAGUAAAGAGGCAAUCUGGUUGCAAAUGAUAAUGGAGGAACUCGGACACAAACUAGAGAAGAUUGCUCUAUUUUGUAAUAGUCAGAGCGCUUUGCAUUUGGCAAAGAAUCCAGCAUUCCAUCAGAGGACAAAGCAUAUUCGAGUUCAAUAUCACUUUGUUCGAGAGAAGGUGGAGGAAGGAAGUAUGGAUAUACAGAAGAUCCAUACAGCAGAUAACCUAGCAGAUAUGUUAACAAAACCGAUCGGAACUGACAAGUUUAGAUGGUGUCGAUCCUCCAUCGGCCUAGCAGAAACGUAAGUAGUAUGGAAAAGGCAAGUAUGGGAAGGAUGAAGUUGUCAACAAAAGUGACUUUAAGUGGGAGAAAUGUUGAAUAUUAAAGCCACAAUUGUUGACUCCAAUAAUUAUUGUCGAAACUUCAUGAAGAAGUUUUCAAGUUUCAAGUGACCAACUUGAAUUUGAAUUCUUUUCCACCAAUCACAACUUGGAAGUGGCAAAGUUGAAGUGAAACUCUCCUAGUCACCAUAUUUGACUAUUUAAGAAGAAAUUAUCUAUUGAAAUUCUUCUUGUUUUCAUGUAGAUACUUCCAUUAAGGAGGUUAACAAUUUCUAUAAAUAGAGGUAGAUGUGGGGAGAGAGAAUGCAAGCAACUUGAGAGGAAUUAGAGAGUAGAGAGAAGAUUGGGAGUAGAGAGAAAAAAAUAUAUAUUAGUUUCUCCUAAGCAUUACCUCCCUGUAUUCUCAUAUUACAAGAGAGAUUAAUUGUUGUUCUCUCCUUGUAUUUAGAGAGUGUUGUAAUUCUCCUACUAUAGUGAAAUCCUCCUAUACUUGCCCGUGGACAUAGUCUAAAUUGGGUGAACCACGUAAAUACUUGUGUCCAUUUUCAGCUGCGAUUUCUCAAUUCCAUUUUGUUGUAAAGCCAAAAUCGACUCACGUCUACCUCUAUUUAUAGAAAUUGUUAACCUCCUUAAUGGAAGUAUCUACAUGAAAAUAAGAAGAAUUUCAAUAGAAAUUUUCUUCUUAAAUAGUCAAAUAUGGUGGCUAGGAGAGUUUCACUUCAAUUUUGCCACUUCCAAGUUGUGAUUGGUGGAAAGGAAUUCAAAUUCAAGUUGGUCACUUACAACUUGAAAACUUCUUCAUGAAGUUUCAACAAUAUUAUUGGAGUCAACAAUUGUGACUUUAAUAUUCAACAGCUGAGUUAAGUUUUAACUAAAAUUUGAAAAGCUUGAUGCCAUUAUAUAAAAUGAGGAAAUUACGUAG
rnacentral:lncRNA from 1 species